CGAACGCUGGCGGCAGGCUUAACACAUGCAAGUCGAGCGCAUCCUUCGGGGUGAGCGGCAGACGGGUGAGUAACGCGUGGGAAUCUACCCAACUCUACGGAAUAACUCAGGGAAACUUGUGCUAAUACCGUAUACGCCCUUCGGGGGAAAGAUUUAUCGGAGUUGGAUGAGCCCGCGUUGGAUUAGCUAGUUGGUGGGGUAAAGGCCUACCAAGGCGACGAUCCAUAGCUGGUCUGAGAGGAUGAUCAGCCACAUUGGGACUGAGACACGGCCCAAACUCCUACGGGAGGCAGCAGUGGGGAAUAUUGGACAAUGGGCGCAAGCCUGAUCCAGCCAUGCCGCGUGUGUGAUGAAGGCCUUAGGGUUGUAAAGCACUUUCACCGGAGAAGAUAAUGACGGUAUCCGGAGAAGAAGCCCCGGCUAACUUCGUGCCAGCAGCCGCGGUAAUACGAAGGGGCGUAGCGUUGUUCGGAAUUACUGGGCGUAAAGCGCACGUAGGCGGAUCGAUCAGUCAGGGGUGAAAUCCCAGAGCUCAACUCUGGAACUGCCUUUGAUACUGUCGGUCUAGAGUAUGGAAGAGGUGAGUGGAAUUCCGAGUGUAGAGGUGAAAUUCGUAGAUAUUCGGAGGAACACCAGUGGCGAAGGCGGCUCACUGGUCCAUUACUGACGCUGAGGUGCGAAAGCGUGGGGAGCAAACAGGAUUAGAUACCCUG
rnacentral:rRNA from 1 species